CCCUCCACCCAGUGUGUUCAUUAAGCCCCUCUUCAUCUCUUUAUCCCCUUUAUUUGGAGAAAAGAGAGAGAGAGGAAGAGAAAGGCAGAGAGGAAGAGAAAGGCAGAGAGGAAAGGAGCAGAGAGGAAGAGAAAGGCAGAGAGGAAGAGAAAGGCAGAGAGGAAGAGAAAGGCAGAGAGGAAAGGAAAGGCAGAGAGGAAGAGAAAGGCAGAGAGGAAGAGAAAGGCAGAGAGGAAGAGAAAGGCAGAGAGGAAAGGAGCAGAGAGGAAGAGAAAGGCAGAGAGAGAGGAGGAAAGCAGAGAGGAGAGGAGCAGAGAGGAAGAGAAAGGCAGAGAGGAGAGGAGCAGAGAGGAAGAGAAAGGCAGAGAGGAAGAGAAAGGCAGAGAGAGAG
ensembl:lncRNA